AUUUAUAUAGUAUAAAUAUUAUAUUUGACUUCCAAUCAAAAGAUCUAUUAAUAAAUAAUAGUAUAAAUA
rnacentral:tRNA from 1 species